GAUGAACGCUAGCUACAGGCUUAACACAUGCAAGUCGCGGGGCAUCAUGGAGGUUGCUUGCAAUUUCUGAUGGCGACCGGCGCACGGGUGAGUAACGCGUAUCCAACCUUCCCAUUACUACGGCAUACCCCGUUGAAAGGCGGCCUAAUUCCGUAUGCAGUCCGAAGCAGUCAUCUAAUUUGGACGAAAGGUAUAUUCUAUCGGUAAUGGAUGGGGAUGCGUCCGAUUAGCCAGCCGGCGGGGUAACGGCCCACCGGGGCAUUGAUCGGUAGGGGUUCUGAGAGGAAGGUCCCCCACACUGGAACUGAGACACGGUCCAGACUCCUACGGGAGGCAGCAGUGAGGAAUAUUGGUCAAUGGGCGUAAGCCUGAACCAGCCAAGUAGCGUGCAGGAUGACAGCCCUAUGGGUUGUAAACUGCUUUUAUGCGGGGAUAAAGUUGGGGACGUGUCCCUUUUUGCAGGUACCGCAUGAAUAAGGACCGGCUAAUUCCGUGCCAGCAGCCGCGGUAAUACGGAAGGUCCGGGCGUUAUCCGGAUUUAUUGGGUUUAAAGGGAGCGUAGGCAGUUUUUUAAGCGUGCUGUGAAAUGUACCGGCUCAACCGGUGAUGUGCAGCGCGAACUGGGAAUCUUGAGUACGCAGUAAGCAGGCGGAAUUCGUGGUGUAGCGGUGAAAUGCUUAGAUAUCACGAAGAACUCCGAUUGCGUAGGCAGCUUGCUGUAGCGUAACUGACGCUGAAGCUCGAAAGUGCGGGUAUCGAACAGG
rnacentral:rRNA from 1 species